UACGUAGGGGGCGAGCGUUGUCCGGAAUUACUGGGCGUAAAGCGUGCGUAGGUGGUGAGUUAAGUCUGUCGUGAAAGCCCCGGGCUCAACCUGGGGAUGGCGAUGGAUACUGGCUCGCUAGAGUGCGGUAGAGGAGAGUGGAAUUCCCGGUGUAGUGGUGAAAUGCGUAGAUAUCGGGAGGAACACCAGUGGCGAAGGCGACUACCUGGCCUGUUCUUGACGCUGAGGCGCGAAAGCUAGGGUAGCAAACGGG
rnacentral:rRNA from 1 species